rnacentral:rRNA from 1 species
AGGAAGAGAAAGAAACAUCGAUUCCCAUAGUAGCGGCGAGCGAAAUGGGAUUAGCCCAAACCGUGUGUCUUCGGACAUGCGGGGUUGUGGACCGGCGUAAUUGAGGAGCAUGUUAAUCGAACACCUCUGGAUAAGAGGGGCCGUAGAGGGUGAUAGCCCCGUAGGUGAAAACAUGCGACGCAUGGCCGGUAUCCAGAGUACCACGGGACACGAGGAAUCCCGUGGGAAGCUGGGGGGACCACCCCCCAAGGCUAAAUACUACCUGGUGACCGAUAGUGAAAUAGUACCGUGAGGGAAAGGUGAAAAGAACCCCGGAAGGGGAGUGAAAAAGAACCUGAAACCCUAUGCCUACAAGCAGAGGAAGCACGUUAACGUGUGACUUCGUACUUUUUGUAGAACGGGCCGGCGAGUUACGCUGUGCAGCGAGGUUAAGGUGUAGAGCACCGGAGCCGUAGGGAAACCGAGUCUGAAUAGGGCGCCAUAGUUGCAUUGCGUAGACCCGAAACCGGGUGACCUAUCCAUGGACAGGGUGAAGGUGAGGUAAAGCUCACUGGAGGCCCGAACCACACGUCUGUUGAAAAAGGCGGGGAUGAGCUGUGGAUAGCGGAGAAAUUCCAAACGAACCCGGAGAUAGCUGGUUCUCCUCGAAAUAGCUUUAGGGCUAGCCUCGGUUAAGAGGUACAUGGGGGUAGAGCACUGAAUGGGCUAGGGGGCCUCAAAGCUUACCGAACCUUAUCAAACUCCGAAUACCAUGUUUACCGUUUACCGGGAGUCAGACUACGGGAGAUAAGUUUCGUGGUCGAAAGGGAAACAGCCCAGACCAUCGGCUAAGGUCCCAAAGUGCAGGUUAAGUGGAAAAGGAUGUGUGAUUGCACAGACAACCAGGAUGUUGGCUUAGAAGCAGCCAUUCAUUGAAAGAGUGCGUAAUAGCUCACUGGUCGAGUGGUCGCGCGCCGAAAAUUUACCGGGGCUAAACCUGCCACCGAAGCCAUGGGAUUGUAUACUUUCUUCAAUAUUUCUUUGAAAAAGGCGAUUCAAUUUUUGCCGCAAGAAGCGGCAAAUGCCUGCGGCGUGGGCCAUUUAUGGCCAUGACAUACAUAGUAUGUUGCCGCUUGUUGCGGCCAAAUUUGUUUCGAUAAAGCUGCACGAUAGAACAAAUGAGGAAAUAUUGAUGAAAGUAUACAAUCGGUAGAGGAGCAUCGUGUGCGGGCUGAAGCAAUACCGUAAGGAGUUGUGGACUGCACAGGAGAGAGAAUGCCGGCAUGAGUAGCGAGAGCAAAGUGAGAAUCUUUGCCGUCGAAAGCCCAAGGUUUCCUGGGGAAGGGUCGUCCCCCCAGGGUAAGUCGGGACCUAAGCCGAGGACGAAAGUCGUAGGCGAUGGACAACAGGUUGAUAUUCCUGUACCACCCGAAGGCGAUUGAGGAUGCAGUGACACAGUAGGAUAGGCGGAGCGGGUUGAUGGUAGAGCCCGUCCAAGCGUGCAAGGGUGGUGUGUAGUGAAGUACGCACACCAUAAAGCCUGAGCCGUGAUGGGGACAGAAAAUAAGUAUGGAAGCCGCUGAAUUCACACUGGCAAGAAAAGCUGCUAACGAGCCUUAAGGUGCCCGUACCGCAAACCGACACAGGUGGGCGAGGAGAGAAUCCUAAGACGAGCGGGAGAACCAUUGUUAAGGAACUCGGCAAAAUGACCCCGUAACUUCGGGAGAAGGGGUGCCUCUUCGGAGGCCGCAGAGAAUAGGCCCAAGCGACUGUUUAUCAAAAACACAGGUCUGUGCUAAGUUGAGAAACGAUGUAUACAGGCUGACGCCUGCCCAGUGCCGGAAGGUCAAGGGGAAGUGUUAGGGGUAACCCGAAGCACGGAUCUUAAGCCCCGGUGAACGGCGGCCGUAACUAUAACGGUCCUAAGGUAGCGAAAUUCCUUGUCGGGUAAGUUCCGACCCGCACGAAUGGCGUAACGAUUUGGGCACUGUCUCAACAAUGGACCCGGCGAAAUUGUAGUAUGCGUGAAGAUGCGCAUUACCCGCGAUAGGACGGAAAGACCCCGUAGAGCUUUACUGUAGCUUGGUAUUGGACUUUGGUAAUAUAUGUACAGCAUAGGUGGGAGGCUUGGAAACCAGCACGCCAGUGUUGGUGGAGCCGCCGUUGGGAUACCACUCUUGUAUUGCUGGAGUUCUAACGGCACGCGGUUAUCCCGGUGCCGGACAGUGCCAGGUGGGCAGUUUGACUGGGGCGGUCGCCUCCUAAAGAGUAACGGAGGCGCCCAAAGGUUCCCUCAGAAUGGUUGGAAAUCAUUUGUAGAGUGUAAAGGCAGAAGGGAGCCUGACAGUGAGAGAGACAUCUCGAACUGGGACGAAAGUCGGGCUUAGUGAUCCGGCGGCAUUGAGUGGGUUAGCCGUCG